GAGUCGCCUCCAGAGACUCCAAUGUGCUGCAGUGGCCCCUGCGUCAACGCUCCCUCGUGCUGCGGCUACUGAGGCGGCUAUUGCUACAGCUCCCCGGCGCUGAUCUGGCGGGAGGGUGAGGGCGGACACGCCAGGCUGCUGCCAGACCGCUCACACCACUGCAGCACUUCGAGGCAGGACAACCCGCAGGAAGCACACACGCUCGACUGGGCCGCACCAUUGCCCAGAAGGUGGGCGCUCAAGUGGUACGUACGCCCCGACAUCCGUGGGCGACGGCAUCUGUGAGUCCGGCUACUGCGCCAACAUCUGGCUUGCGUGCGGCUCAGAGCAGGACGCGGUGAUGGACGUGGGCCUGGGGCUGCGCAGCCUCCUGGGGUACCUGUGUACUUUUCCGGCCUCUUGCAGGACAGCGGGGCCAAGGAGGACGCACCUUGCUGGCCGCUAGGGGCAGUGGCCACCCGUCUACAUUUCGACCACUCCAGCCUGUAUUGUUCUUUUCAUACGUUGGCAGGUCUAUUUGCUCUUACUUUAUUUAAGCUGCUUGCAUUUUUAUAUUUGGUCAUAGUUUCUGUGUGUGCUUUGUUAGAUUUUGGUAUCAGAAUUAGGACCCUUUUGUAUAAAGAAUAGAGAAGUCUUUCUCUGUGCCUGGGAGGAUUUAAAUAACAUCAGGUGGCAAGGAAAUCCUGCUUUGCUCCUGAUUCACCAUACAGUCUCUAAAAUCCCUCUUUUCAUUUCAUAUUUGUAAAGAGUUGUAUUUCUAAUUUUUACACAUUUGUAAUCCACUGGACAGAUUUUCCCUAUUUAUCACUUUGGCCACCACCAUUCGAAGGUCUCUCUUGGGCUCUACAACGCAGUGAGGAGCUUUGGUGCACAAAUGUUUGAGUCCUGGAUCCAACUGUCAUUACAUGUUUGAUGGUCAGCAUGUUAAUAUCUCUGAACCUGUUUCCUUAUCUGAAAUUGGGGACAAUAGCAAUACAUACUUUAUAGUGUUGUUGUAAGGAAUAAAAGAGAUAAUCCUAUGAAAAACAAGUGUUCAAUGAAA